GCCAGAGGCAUCGCUGGGUAGCUAUAUUCGGAACGGAUAAGCGCUGAAAGCAUCUAAGCGCGAAACCGACCUUAAGAUGAGAUUUCCCACAGAGUUAAUCUGGUAAGACCCCUGAAAGAUGAUCAGGUUGAUAGGCCGGAAGUGGAAGCGUGGUGACACGUGGAGCGGAUCGGUACUAAUAGGUCGAGGUCUUGACCUA
rnacentral:ncRNA from 1 species